rnacentral:rRNA from 1 species
GACAGAGGGUGCAAACGUUUGUUCGGAAUUACUGGGCGUAAAGCGUGUGUAGGCGGCUACAUAAGUCGGAUGUGAAAGCCCUGGGCUCAACCCAGGAAGUGCACUCGAUACUGUGUGGCUUGAGUACUGGAGAGGUUGGUGGAAUUCUCGGUGUAGAGGUGAAAUUCGUAGAUAUCGAGAGGAACACCGGUGGCGAAGGCGGCCAACUGGACAGAUACUGACGCUGAGGUGCGAAAGCGUGGGGAGCAAACAGG